ACCAACACCAUAAAAACAACCUAUAACCAGUGUCCUUUCCACAGUCCAUGAAAACACUGACUCUAACCAUGGAAUGGAGCUGGAUGUUUUUCUUCCUCUUGUCAGUUUCUGCAGGUGUCCACUCUGAGGUUAAGCUGCAGCAGUCUGGAGCUGAACUGGUGAAGCGUGGGUCUUCAGUGAAGCUGUCCUGCAAGGCUUCUGGCUACACAUUUAGCAACAGCUAUAUGCACUGGGUAAAGCAGAGCCCUGGACAUGAUCUUGAGUGGAUUGGAUGGAUUUAUGCUGGAAAUGGUGGUACUAAGUACAAUGAGAAAUUCAAAGGGAAGGCCACACUGACUGCAGACACAUCCUCCAGCACAGCCUACAUGCAGCUCAGCAGCCUGACAUCUGAGGACUCUGCAGUCUAUUACUGUGCUAGACACAGUGUUGUAACCACAUCCUGAGUGUGUCAGAAACCC